CGUAACAAGGUCUCCGUUGGUGAACCAGCGGAGGGAUCAUUACCGAGUUUACAACUCCCAAACCCCUGUGAACAUACCUAUACGUUGCCUCGGCGGAUCAGCCCGCGCCCUGUAAAAAGGGACGGCCCGCCCGAGGACCCUAAACUCUGUUUUUAGUGGAACUUCUGAGUAAAACAAACAAAUAAAUCAAAACUUUCAACAACGGAUCUCUUGGUUCUGGCAUCGAUGAAGAACGCAGCAAAAUGCGAUAAGUAAUGUGAAUUGCAGAAUUCAGUGAAUCAUCGAAUCUUUGAACGCACAUUGCGCCCGCCAGUAUUCUGGCGGGCAUGCCUGUUCGAGCGUCAUUUCAACCCUCAAGCUCAGCUUGGUGUUGGGACUCGCGGUAACCCGCGUUCCCCAAAUCGAUUGGCGGUCACGUCGAGCUUCCAUAGCGUAGUAAUCAUACACCUCGUUACUGGUAAUCGUCGCGGCCACGCCGUAAAACCCCAACUUCUGAAUGUUGACCUCGGAUCAGGUAGGAAUACCCGCUGAACUUAAGCAUAUCAA
rnacentral:rRNA from 1 species